UUACGGCCAUAUUACAUUGAAACACCGGUUCCCGCACGAUCGCCAAAGUUAAGCAACGUUGAGCCUGGUCGGUACCUAGAUGGGUGACCGUGUGAGAAUACCAGGUGCUGUAA